AGAGAAAUGAGAGAGAGGAAGUCCUCCUUAACUUGUUACCUGAGAAUAAUUCGUACUGGAGGAAAAAGCUUCUGCAAGUGCAUCCACUUAAAAAUGCUGGCUGAAAUGUGGUCAGUUGAUCUUGGCAACACCUCACAUAUAACCCAAGACCAAAAUAAAGUUACAUUCGGAAGGCAGUCACGACUCAGUGAUCUUAUCCUGCAGAACGCCUUCUCUUGGCGUUUACAUCAUAUAAUUUGAUUACUGUAGCUCAGAAUAAAACACAUGUAAACAAGCCCAGCAAUCUUCGAGGAAAAUGCAGUUCCCACCGGACGGUGCGGCUUGAUCAGGGAGCCUGGUGGAGUUGCUUCUGUCACUGUUCAGUCUUGGAGGAGUAACAGCUUUCCCUUGCACACAGCUGCCCUGGAAAGGUUCCCUGAGCCUGCCUUGCUGGUGUGCAGCCAGAGGAUCCAAGUGGCAAAGGUGUCAGCACCCAGGAACCUGACGGCCCACACCUGCAGGUCUCGCUAGGAGCUCCAGGCUCUGCUGUCUCCUGACACUCACCCAAUGGGCCUGACCCUCAGGACCUUGAACCUGUCCGUGUCAUCAGAGAUGAUGCCCUCCUGCGGUCAAGACUCAGUACCAGAGCAGCAGAAAUGGAGCUUUCAACUACAAGUGGGAACUGAGUUGAACGGCUCCACGAAGCUGUUGGAAUUUCCACUAUAUUAUUCUUUGUAAAAGAAAAUGUAAUGUCAAAUCAUGGCACUUAGGUCUUUUAAUUACCAUGCUUGAAAGUCUUUGAGCCUUUAUUCUGAUCAUUUUAUUUCUUUUUUUUUUUUUAACUUUAUCCGUGAUGAAGAUUGAAAGGAAGACAAGGAGAAAGACAAAGCCCCUUGUUUCUCCAGCCUUGCUUUGUCAUGUUCCUCACCACUUGGUCAUAGGACGUAGGACCAUGUUCUCCAUGGUCUCGGAGGACCAUGACUAUUUUGCAGGGACUGGCGGGGAGGAACUGGAGGAGCAAUUCGUGGGGACUCCCUAGAACUAAUACUUCGGUUGUUUUGAGCAUCUCCACAGCUGUCCCAAGAAUGUGAGAACAACAAGGAGAGCCUAAUUAGCUUCUUCCUUGCCAUCUUGGUUCCUGAGUCAAGACAGGCCGGGAAGCCCACAAUUCUCAAGGGUGAGUGGACUGUAGAUCUCCCCAGAAUUUCCAUUUGCUUCAGAUUUGCAUACAAUAUUUAUACCUUCCACUUAACUGACUUUUUAAUCUUAAGGAAAUGGCUUAAUGUCUUUUUGAAAGAGGGAUAGCCAAUACUAAAAUCUAUCCCACAAGCUUAUUGUGAACAUGAAUUAAGAAACAGACAUAAAAAUCCUUGCACAGUACCUGGCACACGGGAGAUACCGAAAACCCCUUCAACCUCGCUUCCCAUUCAAGUGAACCUGAGGCAUCAACAGUUCCUGCCUGUGUGGGCCACCGGCAACGCACAUUUGGCUCUUUUACAUUCGAGGCUCGCUGGACUGGCCCCAGACAUAUGACAUGCGCUGAUUGGAUUGAAUUGGAACUUUCAGUUCUGCCUUGAAUUGGUUCCCCUGUGUAGACAGUCUGUGUGAUAUCAACCCUCUAGUUCAGGGAGAAAGAGGCUGUUUGGGCAUGGGUAUUAUUUUCUUAAAUGCAGAAUGAAACGGGAUCAGCAGGAUGUUUCAGUGAAAUAUCUCGUUUGAACUUUCCUAUUCAUUUGCUCUUUUAUGCAUUCGCAGCUAGGGGUUUCCAGCUGAUCCAUUUGAUUGCUCUCAUGUACAGAGUGUAGAGACAGCAAAGAGGGGAUUCCUGUAGAUUCUUAACUUGUUAACAAAGGCUGCUAUGACUGUGGCAAGCCCCAGAGCUGACAGCCAGUUUCAGUCCUUUGUAGGGGUUAAGAGAGGGAGACAAGGCAGGGAAAGAGGAGUAGGAAGUUUUAAUAGAGAUACUGAGUCUAAAAAAGCACCAGGGCAUAGAGAAGGGCCAGGAGGAGGGAAGCCGUGAGGCCUGGAAACGCCACCAGCAGGACUCUGGACUUGGAGCCCCUUAGCUGGGUCCUGCUAUAGACUCCCGUCGAGCAGAUAUUCUGUGAAUCGGCUGCCUCCCUUGUGACCAGAGUGCCGGACCAAGCCCCAGGACACCUCAGGGCUCGGCUCAGGACUGUCACCAUGUGGCCCUGCGUGGGCCCAUCUCACUGCUUUCCUGUGGCCGUUUUUUAAAUUUGUAGAAGUCGCUUACUCAUAGCCAUAAACAGGGUUGCCUUGAGGUUCAACUGCAAAAAGAUACCCUGUAAAUGAAGUGCUAUUAAAUAAACGGUGGCGUCAUCGAUUAUUUUCAUUCAGAAUCUAUAGUGUGAAGACUCUUACCAUUAGUUUCUUAUUGGGGAACAGGCUGGGCCUGGGAUAAGGGGGGGACGGUGGAGGGGAUGUCCAUGAGGAAGUGUUGGAGCUAACCGAAUAGGACUUCUAACUUAAAAAUAGGCAGUGGAGAUCGGCGGGGUUAUCACUGACAUGUGUUCGAUCUCAAAUGCUCGUGUGAGGUGGACAUAGCAGAAUGUUCCAGCCCAUCUGCCCUUUGUGGCUGGGCCGCAGAGCUACAAGAGGGCACCCUGGUUCCUCUCAGCCCCUCAGCCUCUCUGCAGCAGCACCAGCUACUUACCAGGGCUUUGUUUGCAGGUUUGAAAGGCUUUCACCCCGGGUGGCGGGUGGCGUAUGGGUUUUUGACGGAUUGAACCUACAGCUUGCGGAAAUCACCAGUGGCCUUUGGUUCUUUUUUGUGGCUGUGAACCUACUUAAAAUGCCUGACGUCUGCUUUUCUCUUUACUUACCCCGAAGCCAUUUCUUAACAGCGAAUCUCUCCGUCUGCAAGCAAACCAGAGUCUUUGAUAAGUGUGGAUAACUGGGAAAGGUAAACCAGCAACACGAGUGAGCUCUCCAA